AGACGAACCGUCCAAACGUUAUUCGGAAUCACUGGGCUUAAAGGGUGCGUAGGCGGCACGGCAAGUUGGGUGUGAAAGCCCUCGGCUCAACCGAGGAAUUGCGCCCAAAACUGCCGCGCUCGAGGGAGACAGAGGUGAGCGGAACUUAGGGUGGAGCGGUGGAAUGCGUUGAUAUCCUAAGGAACACCGGUGGCGAAAGCGGCUCACUGGGUCUCUUCUGACGCUGAGGCACGAAAGCUAGGGGAGCGAACGGGAUUAGAAACCCUUGUAGUCC
rnacentral:rRNA from 1 species